rnacentral:rRNA from 1 species
GUGGGGAAUAUUGGACAAUGGGGGGAACCCUGAUCCAGCCAUGCCGCGUGUGUGAAGAAGGCCUUUUGGUUGUAAAGCACUUUAAGCGAGGAGGAGGCUUACCUGGUUAAUACCUGGGAUAAGUGGACGUUACUCGCAGAAUAAGCACCGGCUAACUCUGUGCCAGCAGCCGCGGUAAUACAGAGGGUGCAAGCGUUAAUCGGAUUUACUGGGCGUAAAGCGCGCGUAGGUGGCUAAUUAAGUCAAAUGUGAAAUCCCCGAGCUUAACUUGGGAAUUGCAUUCGAUACUGGUUAGCUAGAGUAUGGGAGAGGAUGGUAGAAUUCCAGGUGUAGCGGUGAAAUGCGUAGAGAUCUGGAGGAAUACCGAUGGCGAAGGCAGCCAUCUGGCCUAAUACUGACACUGAGGUGCGAAAGCAUGGGGAGCAAACAGGAUUAGAUACCCGGGUAGUCC